rnacentral:rRNA from 1 species
GAUGAACGCUGGCGGCGUGCCUAAUACAUGCAAGUCGAACGGACGGACCUGAAUCUUGUUGCGCUUAUGUUAGCCGCGGGCGGGGGAGUAACACGUAGAUAACCAACCUAUAAGACUCGGAUAACUUCGGAAAACGGGAACUAGUACCUAAUAACAUUUUGAACCGCAUGGUUCAAAAGGUGAAGGCGGUCUUGCUGUCAGUUGUAGAUGGAUCCGCGCUGGCUUAGCUACUUGGUAAGGUAACGGCUUACCAAGGCAACGAUGCAUAGCCGACCUGAGAGGGUGAUCGGCCACACUGGAACUGAGACACGGUCCAGACUCAUACGGGAGGCAGCAGUAGGGAAUCUUCCGCAAUGGGCGAAAGCCUGAGGGAGCAACGCCGCGUGAGUGAUGAAGGUCUUCGGAUCGUAAAACUCUGUUAUUAGGGAAGAACAUAUGUGUAAGUAACUGUGCACAUCUUGACGGUACCUAAUGAGAAAGCACCGGCUAACUACGUG